ensembl:lncRNA
GGAUCAGCUGAAGUUGCUGUUCACUGGCAAAUGAAAAUAAAGAGACAAUUCAGAAUCAAAGUGGGAAUCAGGAAUCCCACGCGUGGUCUGUCCCUCUAUCACCUAACUGAUCGCAUGGCCUCGGUUUCUGUACACACAAAACGUCCGUGCUUCUACAUGUCGGAUGCAUCCCUCACCGCUCCAUCCCAAGGAGAGCCGCGCUUCCAUAAAGCCAGCGCUGUUGGAGCAGCAGGGCAAAGUUUCACGACGGCUGGUCGCUGGCAGAGAGGGCAAGCUCUGGGCUCGCAGCUUCUCUCUCAGUCCCUCAAGCAAUCUGGCACCCAUGGGACUGCCACCAACUUUUCUGCACCGAAGGGUUGAACUCCUUGCUGAAAAUCUGCGCUACACCUUGUAGGCUAAAUUUUGCGUACAGAACUCAUUUGCAGCGAAAUGCAAUCGCAGUAAAUAAAUAAGUAACGGGAGCCAAAACGGCAGCGUGGUGAAUCGGCAAGCUUAUUUCAAAUAAAUUGAAAGAACUUGCGGUGACGAACGUUUUGUGCGAGUCUGGUACUGAGAUUGUAAGAAUUUUGCAUGUCUACAUAAACUGACUGAUAGCAAAGGAGUUUCUAGUCCCCCUCAUGGCACACACAAAUGUCUGUUAAAGACAUAAAUAUUUAAAAACAACAGCUAGACUAAGAGGGUUAGCUUUCAUUUCAUCUAAUUUGGCAAGCAUUAGAUACACCCACCAGAAAUCAUUUUAUUUUGUGUAAUUUAAUAGCAGAUCUAUCGUAGCAUUGCAGUUUCUGACAUACCGAAACAAAUCUAUGUGGCCUUUUUUUAAGUUCAGAAUUAAUAUAAGGCUGGAUUUCAAAUGUUAGAUGGAAAUCAAUAAAGAUUAAAACCUUUUUGUGUUAUU